rnacentral:rRNA from 1 species
AUCCCUGAAAGAUGAUCAGGUUGAUAGGUCUGAGGUGGAAGCGUGGUGACACGUGGAGCUGACAGAUACUAAUAGAUCGAGGACUUAACCUA